rnacentral:tRNA from 1 species
ACUCUUUUAGUUUAUUAUUAAAAUUUGAUUUUGAAGUAGUCAAGAAUUUUGGAGUG